UACGGGGGGGGCAAGCGUUGUUCGGAAUUACUGGGCGUAAAGGGCGCGUAGGCGGUUCGCUAAGUUGAAUGUGAAAACUCUGGGCUUAACCCAGAGCCUGCAUUCAAUACUGGCGGGCUAGAGUUCUGGAGGGGAUAGCGGAAUUCCUGGUGUAGCGGUGAAAUUCGUAGAUAUUCGGAAGAACACCAGUGGCGAAGGCGGCUCACUGGCCCGGUACUGACGCUGAGGUGCGAAAGCGUGGGGAGCAAACAGG
rnacentral:rRNA from 1 species